rnacentral:rRNA from 1 species
UACGGGGGGGGCAAGCGUUGUUCGGAAUUACUGGGCGUAAAGGGCUCGUAGGCGGCCAACUAAGUCCGACGUGAAAUCCCCAGGCUUAACCUGGGAACUGCGUCGGAUACUGGAUGGCUUGAAUCCGGGAGAGGGAUGCGGAAUUCCAGGUGUAGCGGUGAAAUGCGUAGAUAUCUGGAGGAACACCGGUGGCGAAGGCGGCAUCCUGGACCGGUAUUGACGCUGAGGCGCGAAAGCCAGGGGAGCAAACGGG